rnacentral:misc_RNA from 1 species
GAAAUGCGAUAAGUAGUGUGAAUUGCAGAAUUCAGUGAAUCAUCGAAUCUUUGAACGCACAUUGCGCCUUCUGGCAUUCCGGGAGGCAUGCCUGUUCGAGCGUCAUGAAUACUCAUCGGACAUCACGUUGUGGUGGCUGGCAAUGGAGCUGAGGGCUAAUUGAUCCUCUCUUCGAAAUAUAUUGGCGAAGGAUGUGGUUAUCUUUGGCGUAGUAAAAAGCAUUUUCGCUUCAGGAAUUGCUAUCCUUCCGUCACAACCCUGAAAAUACAACAGUUGACCUCGAAUCAGGUAGGGAUACCCGCUGAACUUAA